GUGAGACGGGAAAAGGAUGAAAUGAGGGCCUAAGAGCAGUGGGCACGGGAACAUGGAGGAAAGCUCAAUUGAUGAUUACCUCUUGGAGGUGGGAUCUGCUUAAAGCUUUCCUAAUGCCUCCCAUGCCUAUUGUUCUUUGGUGCUCCUUCCUUUUCCUUUUGAUU
rfam:Setaria italica strain Yugu1 chromosome VII, whole genome shotgun sequence.